rnacentral:rRNA from 1 species
CCUACGGGAGGCAGCAGUGGGGGAUAUUGCACAAUGGGGGAAACCCUGAUGCAGCGACGCCGCGUGAGUGAAGAAGUAUUUCGGUAUGUAAAGCUCUAUCAGCAGGGAAGAACAUGACAGUACCUGACCCAGAAGCCCCGGCUAACUUCGUGCCAGCAGCCGCGGUAAUACGUAGGGGGCAAGCGUUAUACGGAUUUACUGGGUGGAAAGGGAGCGUAGACGGGUAUGUAAGUCUGGAGUGAAAGUACGGGGCCCAACCGCGAGACUGCAUUUGAAACUGUGUAACUUGAGUACAGGAGGGGCAGGCGGAAUUCCUGGUGUAGCGGUGAAAUGCGUAGAUAUCAGGAGGAACACCGGCGGCGAAGGCGGCCUGCUGGACUGAAACUGACGUUGAGGCUCGAAAGCGUGGGGAGCAAACAGGAUUAGAUACCCCAGUAGUC